UACGGGGGGAGCAAGCGUUGUUCGGAUUUACUGGGCGUAAAGGGCGCGUAGGCGGCGUGACAAGUCACUUGUGAAAUCUCCGGGCUUAACCCGGAGCGGCCAAGUGAUACUGUCGUGCUAGAGUGCGGAAGGGGCUACUGGAAUUCUCGGUGUAGCGGUGAAAUGCGUAGAUAUCAGGAGGAACACCGGUGGCGAAGGCGGGUCUCUGGGCAAUAACUGACGCUGAGGCACGAAGGCCAGGGGAGCAAACGGG
rnacentral:rRNA from 1 species